CAAAAAGGCAUCAGACGAAACGGACUCAGACAAAAAGGCAUCAGACGAAACGGACUCAGACAAAAAGGCAUCAGACGAAACGGACUCAG